CAGCAGCCACGGGAAUACGUAGGGUGCAAGCGUUAAUCGGAAUUACUGGGCGUAAAGCGUGCGCAGGCGGUUUUGUAAGACAGAGGUGAAAUCCCCGGGCUCAACCUGGGAACUGCCUUUGUGACUGCAAGGCUAGAGUACGGCAGAGGGGGAUGGAAUUCCGCGUGUAGCAGUGAAAUGCGUAGAUAUGCGGAGGAACACCGAUGGCGAAGGCAAUCCCCUGGGCCUGUACUGACGCUCAUGCACGAAAGCGUGGGGAGCAAACAGGAUUAGAUACCCGGGUAGUCCCUGUCUCUUAUAC
rnacentral:rRNA from 1 species